AGAGUUUGAUCCUGGCUCAGAACGAACGCUGGCGGCAGGCUUAACACAUGCAAGUCGAACGAGUAAGAGCCGUAGCAAUACGGAGUUCUGCUAGUGGCGCACGGGUGAGUAACGCGUGGGAAUAUGCCCUUUAGUACGGAAUAACAGUUGGAAACGACUGCCAAUACCGUAUACGCCCUUCGGGGGAAAGAUUUAUCGCUAAAGGAUUAGCCCGCGUGAGAUUAGGUAGUUGGUGGGGUAAUGGCCUACCAAGCCUACGAUCUCUAGCCGGUCUGAGAGGACGAUCGGCCACACUGGAACUGAGACACGGUCCAGACUCCUACGGGAGGCAGCAGUGGGGAAUAUUGGACAAUGGGCGAAAGCCUGAUCCAGCCAUGCCGCGUGAGUGAUGAAGGCCUUAGGGUUGUAAAGCUCUUUUGUCAGGGAAGAUAUUGACGGUACCUGAAGAAUAAGCACCGGCUAACUUCGUGCCAGCAGCCGCGGUAAUACGAAGGGUGCUAGCGUUGUUCGGAAUUACUGGGCGUAAAGCGCGCGCAGGCGGUCUAUCAAGUCAGAGGUGAAAUGCCGAAGCUCAACUUCGGAACUGCCUUUGAAACUGUUAGACUAGAAUAUGGGAGGGGAUAGCGGAAUUCCUAAUGUAGAGGUGAAAUUCGUAGAUAUUAGGAGGAACACCGGUGGCGAAGGCGGCUAUCUGGCCCAUUAUUGACGCUGAGGCGCGAAAGCGUGGGGAUCAAACAGGAUUAGAUACCCUGGUAGUCCACGCUGUAAACGAUGAGUGCUAGCUGUUGGGACCUUAGGUCUCAGUGGCGCAGCUAACGCAUUAAGCACUCCGCCUGGGGAGUACGGUCGCAAGAUUAAAACUCAAAGGAAUUGACGGGGACCCGCACAAGCGGUGGAGCAUGUGGUUUAAUUCGAGGCAACGCGAAGAACCUUACCAGGACUUGACAUGUCCAGUUUGGAUUUCAGAAAUGAUUUCCUUCAGUUUGGCUGGCUGGAACACAGGUGCUGCAUGGCUGUCGUCAGCUCGUGUCGUGAGAUGUUGGGUUAAGUCCCGCAGCGAGCGCAACCCUCAUCUUUAGUUGCUACCAUUUAGUUGAGCACUCUAAAGAAACUGCCGGUGAUAAGCCGGAGGAAGGUGGGGAUGACGUCAAGUCUUCAUGGCCCUUAUGUCCUGGGCUACACACGUGCUACAAUGGCAGUGACAAUGCGCCGCUACCUCGCGAGGGGAAGCUAAUCGCAAAAAGCUGUCUCAGUUCGGAUUGUACUCUGCAACUCGAGUACAUGAAGUUGGAAUCGCUAGUAAUCGCGCAUCAGCAUGGCGCGGUGAAUACGUUCCCGGGUCUUGUACACACCGCCCGUCACACCAUGGGAGUUGGUUCUACCUUAAGCUGCUGUGCUAACCGCAAGGAGGCAGGCAACCACGGUAGGGUCAGUGACUGGGGUGAAGUCGUAACAAGGUA
rnacentral:rRNA from 1 species